CCCAGUAAACGGCGGCCGUAACUAUAACGGUCCUAAGGUAGCGAAAUUCCUUGUCGGGUAAGUUCCGACCCGCACGAAAGGCGUAACGAUCUGGGCGCUGUCUCAACAAGAGACUCGGUGAAAUCAUAGUACCUGUGAAGAUGCAGGUUACCCGCGACAGGACGGAAAGACCCCGUGGAGCUUUACUGUAGCUUGAUAUUGAGCACUGGUGACACAUGUACAGGAUAGGUAGGAGACGAAGAAGCCAGGACGCCAGUCUUGGUGGAGUCGCUGUUGGGAUACUACCCUUGUGUUACUGGGGUUCUAACCCGUGGCCAUGAUCUGGUCAGGGAACAGUGUCAGGUGGGCAGUUUGACUGGGGCGGUCGCCUCCCAAAGAGUAACGGAGGCGCCCAAAGGUUCCCUCAGAAUGGUUGGAAAUCAUUCGAAGAGUGUAAAGGCAGAAGGGAGCUUGACUGCGAGACCUACAAGUCGAGCAGGGACGAAAGUCGGGCUUAGUGAUCCGGCGGUACCGAAUGGAAGGGCCGUCGCUCAACGGAUAAAAGCUACCCCGGGGAUAACAGGCUGAUCUCCCCCAAGAGUUCACAUCGACGGGGAGGUUUGGCACCUCGAUGUCGGCUCAUCGCAUCCUGGGGCUGUAGUCGGUCCCAAGGGUUGGGCUGUUCGCCCAUUAAAGCGGUACGCGAGCUGGGUUCAGAACGUCGUGAGACAGUUCGGUCCCUAUCCGUCGUGGGCGUAGGAAAUUUGAGAGGAGCUGUCCUUAGUACGAGAGGACCGGGAUGGACACACCGCUGGUGUACCAGUUGUUCUGCCAGGAGCAUAGCUGGGUAGCUACGUGUGGACGGGAUAAACGCUGAAAGCAUCUAAGCGUGAAGCCCCCCUCAAGAUGAGAUUUCCCAUUCGAAAGAAGUAAGAUCCCUUGAAGACGACAAGGUAGAUAGGUCAGAAGUGGAAGUGUGGUGACACAUGGAGCGGACUGAUACUAAUCGAUCGAGGACUUAACCAAA
rnacentral:rRNA from 1 species